rnacentral:rRNA from 1 species
GGCGGCGUGCCUAAUACAUGCAAGUCGAGCGAGAAAUACUUCUAGACAAAUCUUCGGAAGCGUCAGAGAGAUGGAAAGCGGCGGACGGGUGAGUAACGCGUAGGCAACCUGCCUUAGCAGAGGGAUAGCCAUUGGAAACGGUGAUUAAAACCUCAUAAUGCUGGAGAAGCACAUGCUUCAUCAGCCAAAGAUUUAUCGGCUAAGGAUGGGCCUGCGUCUGAUUAACUAGUUGGUGAGGUAACGGCUCACCAAGGUGACGAUCAGUAGCCGACCUGAGAGGGUGAUCGGCCACAUUGGAACUGAGACACGGUCCAAACUUCUACGGAAGGCAGCAGUAAGGAAUCUUGCACAAUGGGGGAAACCCUGAUGCAGCAACGCCGCGUGAACGAUGAAGGCCUUAGGGUUGUAAAGUUCUGAUCUGUGGGAAGAAGAAAGUGACGGUACCACAGGAGAAAGCCCCGGCUAAAUACGUGCCAGCCGCCGC